rnacentral:piRNA from 1 species
UGGAAAGAGUGCAACCUGGGGACAG